UACGUAGGGACCAAGCGUUGUUCGGAUUUACUGGGCGUAAAGGGCGCGUAGGCGGCUUAACAAGUCACUUGUGAAAUCUCCGGGCUUAACUCGGAACGGCCAAGUGAAACUGUUAUGCUAGAGUGCAGAAGGGGCAAUCGGAAUUCUUGGUGUAGCGGUGAAAUGCGUAGAUAUCAAGAGGAACACCUGAGGUGAAGACGGGUUGCUGGGCUGACACUGGCGCUGAGGCGCGAAAGCCAGGGGAGCAAACGGG
rnacentral:rRNA from 1 species